CUGCGACAGUAUGUAUCAAUUUACCUGUUUUCCUGAAACGUACGAGAUGCUAUUUCCGAGUGAAGAAUUGAGCGUGUGAAAUAUAAACGUAUGGGUUCGCGGACUAUUCACGUGCUGUGAAAACGUGAUGACUCUAGAUGAGAGUCAUCAAACAUGCACCAACGCACGGCAUUUGUCGUCUUCGCUUGCCAUCGCUUCUCUGUCUUCGCUUGGUUCUAUGUGCUUCGGAGCUGCCAAAUUGACCAUUUCUCUACGCAGUUAUGAUAUCGAAAUAAAAAAUAUAGAAUGAAUGGUCUGAUUUACAUAUUUAUUUACUAAUUCGCCACCAAAACGUUACACAAAAAGUGAAUAACAAAUACGAUAAAGUUUGAGGCGAUGCCAAUGUACGGUGUAUGGGUAAAUAUCACGAUUUUGGCCAUCUCACUCGAUAUAAUUAAUAUGUAAUUUUUAUAUAUUUUGUAGACCUAUACUAUUAUUGAUAUACAUACACAUAUAUAAGGGCUGUUUACAUGAGCCCGGCUUAACUAAUUUUAAAUUGAAAAUGCUCUAUAAAACGUGCAUUUGACUUGCGUGACAAACCUUACAGUAUUAACAACAGUAAUAAACAACUUUUCCCCGCCAUAUUUGGCUUGAUAAAGUUUCAUGAUAAUACACAUAUAUAUAUAUAUAUAUAUAGAGGAUAUUUCACGGUGGCACGGAAAUAUGACUUUUAUUUUCGAGUGGUGAAAACAAUAUUUUACGAACGAGCGCAGCGAGUGAGUAAAAUAUUGUUUUCAACACGAGAAAAUAAAAGUCA